UGUGUUUCCUGAGCAUUUCCUAGCUCUCAGCACAGUGCUCUCUACACAGUAAGUGCUCAGUAAAUAUCACUACUUGAUUGAAGAGCAGCCUGGCUUAGUGGGUAGAGCACGAACCUGGGUGUCAGAAGGACCUGGUUCUAAUCCCAGCUCCACCACGUGUCUGCUGUGUGACCUUGAGCAAGUCACAUAACUUCUCUGGGUCUCACUUACCUUAUCUGUAAAAUGGGGAUUAAGAGUAUGAGGUUCAUGUGGGACAGGGACUCUGUCCGAUCUGAUUAACUUCUAUCUACCCCAGGGCUUAGAACAUUGCUUGGCACAUAGUGUUUAACAAGUAACAUUAUUAUUAUUAUUUUUGAUAGAGGCCCUCCAGCGGUGAACAAGGAGUCCCUGGAAAGGAGAUAGAGAGCCCCCCAACUAUGGCAUUCAGGAGGAAGAGGAGAGAGAGAAGGCAGGAGCUUCCUGGAAAGCUUGGAUUUGAGCACAGACCUGGAUCCAGACUCUUCCUCCUCCAAGACAGCUCCAGGAGAAGAAGGAGGAAGAAGGGAAGGAGAAGCGGCAGAAGGAGGGAAUGAAGGAGGAGGAAAAGUUGGGGGGGGAGAAGCUGAAGAAGCGGAGAAGUCAGAAAAGGAGGAGCACCAGCAGAGGAGGGUAUGGAGGAAGAGGAAGAGAUGAAGGAGAGGAAGAAUGGGAGUAGGAAGAGCAGAAGGAGGGAAUGAAGGAGAAGAAGGAAGAGAUGAGGAAGAAAUGAUGGAAAAGUAGAGGAAGAGCAGCAGAAGGAGGGAAUGAAGGAGAAGCAGCCCGUCCCUGCCCCAGUUGGGGCUCACAGUCUGGGGGAGAGGGAGAACAGGUAUCGAAUCUCUAUUUUACAGAGGAAGAAAUCGAGGCACAGAGAAGUCAAGUGACUUGCUCAAGGUCACAAAGCAGGCUAAUGGCAGAGCGGGGAUUAGAACUCCUGCCUCCUAGUUCUGUCCUCUUUCUGCCAGGCCAUGCCCCUACUACUUUCAAGCCUUCUAUCUCUCUCUCUGC
rnacentral:lncRNA from 1 species